rnacentral:rRNA from 1 species
GACGAACGCUGGCGGCGUGCUUAACACAUGCCAGUCGAACGGUGAAGCGCUUUCCUUUUUGGUUGGUGUGGAUGAGUGGCGAACGGGUGAGUAACACGUGAGUAACCUGCCCCCUUCUUCUGGAUAACCGCAUGAAAGUGUGGCUAAUACGGGAUAUUCUGCGCCUGCUGCAUGGUGGGUGUGGGAAAGAUUGUGCCUUUGGGUGUUUUCGGUGGGGGAUGGGCUCGCGGCCUAUCAGCUUGUUGGUGGGGUGAUGGCCUACCAAGGCGGUGACGGGUAGCCGGCCUGAGAGGGUGGACGGUCACACUGGGACUGAGACACGGCCCAGACUCCUACGGGAGGCAGCAGUGGGGAAUAUUGCACAAUGGGCGCAAGCCUGAUGCAGCGACGCCGCGUGAGGGAUGGAGGCCUUCGGGUUGUGAACCUCUUUCGCCAGUGAAGCAGGCCUGCUCCUUGUGGGUGGGUUGACGGUAGCUGGAGAAGAAGCGCCGGCUAACUACGUG